rnacentral:rRNA from 1 species
ACCCGCUGAACUUAAGCAUAUCAAUAAGCGGAGGAAAAGAAACCAACAGGGAUUACCUCAGUAACGGCGAGUGAAGCGGUAAUAGCUCAAAUUUGAAAUCUGGCUCUUUCAGAGUCCGAGUUGUAAUUUGUAGAGGAUGUUUCGGGCACAGUUACGGUUUAAAUUUCUUGGAACAGAAUGUCAAAGAGGGUGAGAGUCCCGUCUUGAACCGAUUACUUCGUCCAUGUGAAACUCCUUCGACGAGUCGAGUUGUUUGGGAAUGCAGCUCAAAAUGGGUGGUAAAUUUCAUCUAAAGCUAAAUAUUGGCCAGAGACCGAUAGCGCACAAGUAGAGUGAUCGAAAGAUGAAAAGCACUUUGAAAAGAGAGUUAAACAGUAUGUGAAAUUGUUGAAAGGGAAGCGCUUGCAAUCAGACUUGAGCUUAACAGUUCCCCCUUCGUUCUCGUUGGGUUAUUCUGUUUUGUCCAGGCCAACAUCAGUUCGGGUGGUUGGUUAAAGACUUUAGGAAUGUAUCUACCCCUCGGGGUCGACUUAUAGCCUAGAGUGUCAUGCAGCCUACCUGGACUGAGGAACGCGCUUCGGCUCGGAUGUUGGCGUAAUGGUUGUAAGCGACCCGUCUUGAAACACGG